AUUGAACGCUGGCGGCAGGCCUAACACAUGCCAGUCGAGCGGAUGAAGGGAGCUUGCUCCUGGAUUCAGCGGCGGACGGGUGAGUAAUGCCUAGGAAUCUGCCUGGUAGUGGGGGAUAACGUCCGGAAACGGGCGCUAAUACCGCAUACGUCCUGAGGGAGAAAGUGGGGGAUCUUCGGACCUCACGCUAUCAGAUGAGCCUAGGUCGGAUUAGCUAGUUGGUGGGGUAAAGGCCUACCAAGGCGACGAUCCGUAACUGGUCUGAGAGGAUGAUCAGUCACACUGGAACUGGGACACGGUCCAGACUCCUACGGGAGGCAGCAGUGGGGAAUAUUAGACAAUGGGCGAAAGCCUGAUCCAGCCAUGCCGCGUGUGUGAAGAAGGUCUUCGGAUUGUAAAGCACUUUAAGUUGGGAGGAAGGGCAGUAAGUUAAUACCUUGCUGUUUUGACGUUACCAACAGAAUAAGCACCGGCUAACUUCGUG
rnacentral:rRNA from 1 species